rnacentral:rRNA from 1 species
AUACGUUCCCUUCCUUUCGGACAUUUUUUUCAAAGGUUGCCUGCAUGGUUGUCGUCAGCUCCGUGCCCGUGAGGUGCUAUGGUUAAGUCCUGCACACGAGCGCAACUCCUGUCCCUAGUUGCUACAUUAACGUUGAGGACUCUAAGUGAGACUUGCCUACGCAAGUAGAGAUGGAAGGUGGGGAUGACGUCAAAUCAUCACGGCCCUUACGUCUGGCCACACACGUGCUACAAUGGCCGGUACAGAGGGGCAGCUACCUAGGUGAUAGGAGUCGCAAAUCUCGAAAUGCCCGGUCUCACGUUCGGAUUGGAGUCUUGCAACUCCGACUCUAUGAAGCUCGGAAUCGCUAGUAAUUCUGCGCAUCAGCCAUGGCGCUGGUGAAUACGUUGCCCUGGGCCUUGUACACACCGCCCGUCAAGCCAUUGGAAUGCUUGGGGGAGCCAAAAAUUCUUGUUCCUGAAAAGGAUAAGCCUACGGGAAAAUCACGUCAGC